rnacentral:rRNA from 1 species
UACGUAGGGGGCUAGCGUUGUCCGGAAUCAUUGGGCGUAAAGAGCGUGUAGGCGGCCAGAUAAGUCCGCUGUGAAAUCUCGAGGCUCAACUUCGAGCUGUCGGUGGAAACUAUCUGGCUAGAGUCCGGAAGAGGAGAAUGGAAUUCCUGGUGUAGCGGUGAAAUGCGCAGAUAUCAGGAAGAACACCCGUGGCGAAGGCGGUUCUCUGGGCAUGUCCUGACGCUGAGGAGCGAAAGUGUGGGGAGCGAACAGG